CCCUUAGAUGUUCUGGGCCGCACGCGUGCUACACUGAGUGGAUCAGCGGGUCAGGUUGCGCGAAAGUGUUUCCUAAUCUUGAAAUCCGCUCGUGAUGGGGAUUGACGGUUGCAAUUUUCCGUCAUGAACGAGGAAUACCUUGUAAGCGCGGGUCAUCAUCCCGCGCUGAAUACGUCCCUGCCCUUUGUACACACCGCCCGUCGCUCCUACCGAUUGAGUGGUCCGGUGAGGCUUUGGGAUCUGAGCGGAAAGAGCGUUUCGCUGUUUCUGCUCGGAAAACUCAGUCGAACCUUACCAUUUGGAGGAAGGAGAAGUCGUAACA
rnacentral:rRNA from 1 species